UUGAUGAAAGGUUCAGAGCAGGAAUUGUGAAAUGGCUCCUGGCAGCAGCCUGAAUCUACUCUGCACUCUGUCAUGAUGCCAUUGCCUGGGACUUAUGAAUUUUGCUUGUACAAGAUUUAUUAUUUUAUUUUAAACUACAGAAUUCCAAAACACAAGACAAACCCGGGCCCAAAGGUCUUUGUAGAAGUGGUAGCAGCUGAGAAGGGGACGUUCAUAAUGGCACAUGGAACCUAUCAGCUGAGGAAUAAGUAGAUUUGGACUAGGCCUGGGCUUCCCAAAGAAACAGCCUAACACUGCUGAUCUGGGAUUUGUGAA
rnacentral:lncRNA from 1 species